GAUGAAGAACGUAGUGAAAUGCGAUAAGUAGUGUGAAUUGCAGAAUUCAGUGAAUCAUCGAAUCUUUGAACGCGCAUUGCGCCCCUUGGUAUUCCAUGGGGCAUGCCUGUUCGAGCGUCAUUUGUACCUUCAAGCUUUGCUUGGUGUUGGGUGUUUGUCUCGCCUUUGCGUGUAGACUCGCCUUAAAAUAAUUGGCAGCCGGCGUAUUGAUUUCGGAGCGCAGUACAUCUCGCGCUUUGCACUCAUAACGACAGCGUCCAAAAGUACAUUUUACACUCUUGACCUCGGAUCAGGUAGGGAUACCCGCUGAACUUAAGCAUAUCAAUAAGCGGAGGA
rnacentral:misc_RNA from 1 species